AUUGAACGCUGGCGGCAUGCCUUACACAUGCAAGUCGAACGGUAACGCGGGGCAACCUGGCGACGAGUGGCGAACGGGUGAGUAAAGCAUCGGAACGUGCCCAGUAGUGGGGGAUAGCCCGGCGAAAGCCGGAUUAAUACCGCAUACGACCUAAGGGUGAAAGGGGGGGAUCGCAAGACCUCUCGCUAUUGGACCGGCCGAUGUCAGAUUAGCUAGUUGGUGGGGUAAAAGCUCACCAAGGCGACGAUCUGUAGCUGGUCUGAGAGGACGACCAGCCACACUGGGACUGAGACACGGCCCAGACUCCUACGGGAGGCAGCAGUGGGGAAUUUUGGACAAUGGACGAAAGUCUGAUCCAGCCAUGCCGCGUGCGGGAAGAAGGCCUUCGGGUUGUAAACCGCUUUUGUCAGGGAAGAAAUCCUUUGAGCUAAUACCUCGGGGGGAUGACGGUACCUGAAGAAUAAGCACCGGCUAACUACGUGCCAGCAGCCGCCGCAG
rnacentral:rRNA from 1 species